AUUAGAUUAGGAGUCUAAGAACAGCCUACAGAAAGGUAUUUAUGCAUGCUGAUACAAAUACUUUAGGUCUUGAAGAACGGCUUGCUGAAGUGGAGGAUGAUGAAGAGCUUGGUCAUAUUCCUGCUGUAUGUUCCAUGGUCAAGUCAAUUCGUGAUUCCUUCACAAAUAAUCGCCGUGGAAUAUGCAAGUUGAGUCGUUGGAGCGACUCUUGAAUGCAUGCUAUUCUAUGAUGUGAAAGUACACCUCUCUCCGGAAUAGCCUUCUCACUGGCCUUCUGUUUGUAUUACUACUACAAGUAAGAAUUGUCCUCUCCCCCCUUCCCCCCCCACCCAAUCAUAUAAAUUAAUGGCAAGAAUGUUAUAUCUUUGUCUAUUCUUGUGAAAAACUGGUUUUAAAUUAUCGGAGAAAGAAGUGCUUCUACAUUAGACGCUCAGGUACCUUGUACUUGUAGAACUGGAUUGUGACUUCUGAUGUUAUCUUACUGUAAUGGAUUUGUAAAUGUGAUGAAAGAUAUAUUCGGUGGCUCUCCUUUCAUUUCAA